GGGGGUCGGAGUUCAGUCUUCCCGGGCCCACCAUUUGCAUAUGCGAAUGAGGGUUUGGGUUGAGACUGUUGGUUGAUGCGAAUUGUUGCCGCGCCUGGUUGAUGAGACUUGGGUGAUCGAGCUGGAUGGGGCUGUAGCUCAGCUGGGAGAGCACCUGCUUUGCAAGCAGGGGGUCAGCGGUUCGAUCCCGCUCAGCUCCACCAUUUAAUUGCGCUCACGGGUGAGCGGUCCUUCGGACCUACCCUCCGCGAGGGCGCCGAACGAUCGGCGACGCGCUACCGCGCUGUGCUGGAGAAUUGAUCCGGCGGCUGCGAAUUGUCUUCUUUGAGGAAAUAAAAGUUUGCAUCGUCUGAGAGGACUGAUGCCUGUUCUGAAUACAUUGUGAAGAGAAGAUAUGUCUGGAAGCUUCCAGGUGUUUUGAGCCCUUGUGGUUUGAAACGUCCGAGCCCAGUCCCAGAGAAACCAUGUGAUGGCUUAGUCGGCCGGAAUUGGUGGAGGGGUUGGAGGUAGGUAGGAAAGCUUGUCCGAGGCAUUUUUGUUGUUUGAAGGUUUAGGCCUUCAUCUGACGGGAAUGCUGGAUUGAUGUUGCCUGACCGCGCAUCACCGGAUGAUAUCUCGAGAAGCUGGUCUUAAUGGUAUGGCUUCGAGGUGCACCNGCGUGCCCUCAAUGAAGACCGUACCGACACGUC
rnacentral:tRNA from 1 species